rnacentral:rRNA from 1 species
CAGAGGGUGCGAGCGUUGUUCGGAAUUAUUGGGCGUAAAGCGCGUGUAGGCGGUGAUGCAUGUCGGGUGUGAAAGCCCUCAGCUCAACUGAGGAAGUGCGCCCGAAACUGCAUCGCUGGAGUGCCGGAGAGGAAGGCGGAAUUCCCGGUGUAGAGGUGAAAUUCGUAGAUAUCGGGAGGAACACCAGUGGCGAAGGCGGCCUUCUGGACGGACACUGACGCUGAGACGCGAAAGCGUGGGUAGCAAACAGGAUUAGAUACCCUGGUAGUCCACGCCGUAAACGAUGGGAACUAGGUGUGUCGGGUUUUGACCCCUGACGUGCCGUAGCUAACGCAUUAAGUUCCCCGCUGGGAAGUACGGUCGCAAGACUA